rnacentral:rRNA from 1 species
UACGUAGGGGUGCGAGCGUUAAUCGGAAUUACUGGGGCGUAAAGCGUGCGCAGGCGGUCUCGUAAGCUGGGUGUGAAAGCCCCGGGCUUAACCUGGGAAUGGCAUUCAGGACUGCGAGGCUCGAGUGUGGCAGAGGGAGGUGGAAUUCCACGUGUAGCAGUGAAAUGCGUAGAGAUGUGGAGGAACACCGAUGGCGAAGGCAGC